rnacentral:lncRNA from 1 species
GGAAACCAAGGGCCCGAUUCGCAGCUGUGCUACUGACUUCAGUGGGAUCGGGCUCAGGAUCGGGUCCGGGAUGAGGGAGGCGGGGAAGAGAGAAUAAAACCCCAUCACCGCAGCAGCGCUGAACUCCUCGCUGCCACUUCAGCCACAGCCUCGUGGCUACUGCGGACACCCCGCGUCCCUCUCCCCGACCUCUUCCCGGCCACUGGCUACCCGCGGUGGGGCAGCUCCCUCCCCCCGCUGUUCUAACCAAUCCCGCUGCCGGGGGGCGGAGGCGGAGGCUGGCUCCGCAUUUGUUAGUCCCUGUGGUGCAGAUGAAGGCAGGCGCCCGCUGCGAAGCGAAGAGGGACUCGCUGUGCGGCCAGAGCGCCCGGCUCCCGUUCCGGCUCCGCCCGUCCUCAAAGUUGGAGCAGGCUCGGGGCAAAGAGCAUGCAGGGCUGGACACCGCCGCAGAGCAAGGGCCAGCGCUCCCCACGCCUCCGGCUCCGCCCUGCCCCCUGCGAUGAACAAGCGGCUGCUGCUGCUCCUCCCCAGGAGGCUGCCUGGACCCCCAGGUUCCAGCCUUUUCAGUAUCUCCUCAUGUCUUCAACUUUUACCAUCUCUGCUAAACAAGUGUCUGGUUACAAGUCAGUGGUCUGCUUGGAGCAGCUACUCUAACUCCAGCCUCCAAAACUGAGGAAGGAAGAAAGCUAUAUAUUUGAAGGUCCCAACACACUCCUUCACUUCCCCCUUCAUCCUCCACUUCCUGUUAGGGAAAUCCCACCAAAUUUCCUGGGUCCUCCCUUUCCUCCAUAUUUAUGAGACAGAAAUCCCAGAUUACUGGGUUAGCAGUCCCUAUUAAGUGACGAAGGAGACUCCCCUGCUAUACACACAUCAUGUUAUCUUAUUAAAAGCUAUUUUGAUGGCCCUUGUUUCCCAUUAAUUCCCUUAUUUCCCUUGGCUUUCAGGCCAAACCACACAGCUGGUAAGUUAAGUUGGAAUCAGUGGAAAACAGCAGCUAUACCAUGAUGCUGUUGACAUCAACAGAAGCAGUAUAAUGCCCAAGAGGAAUUAAGGUUGCUCAGAUUAACCAGGUGGCAUUGAACACCUUGAGAGGUACCUGGCAUCUUGUAGGAUCAGAGCCAGAAGGAAAAUCUAUUUACCAUCCUUGUAAGGCUAUGCUCGGUCUGGUGUCUCUGUAGUGCAAUCCAUAGA